UGCUCAUUUCGCUUGUAUUUCAAUACACUUGCACAAGAACAUUUUCUUUUCUUUGAGGUCUUGAAGUUUUGAGGUGUUAGUCCAUUGUUGGAUUCCCAUUGAGAAGCUCGGCGUUCGUGCGAGGGGGACGCUUGAUGAAGAGACGCUCAAGUGGCUUUGCGGAGGGGGAAGAAUAAUGACAUUUGAAGCGCGCUGUUAGAACUUCAGUCAUUCUCGCUUGCCGUCUGCCACCCACUGAAAGUCUUACCGCCGCUGUCCCUGAUGGAGAGGUUGAGCGCGGCGCUGGACUCGGGCGCGAUGCU